rnacentral:tRNA from 1 species
ACCUGGUUGGCUCAGUUGGUGGAGCAUAAGACUCUUGAUCUUAGGGUUGUGAGUUUGAACCCUACAUUGGGUA